rnacentral:rRNA from 1 species
UACGUAGGGGGCAAGCGUUAUCCGGAUUUACUGGGCGUAAAGGGAGCGUAGACGGCGAUGCAAGCCAGAUGUGAAGGCCCGGGGCUCAACCCCGGGACUGCAUUUGGAACUGUAUAGCUAGAGUGUCGGAGAGGCAGGCGGAAUUCCUAGUGUAGCGGUGAAAUGCGUAGAUAUUAGGAGGAACACCAGUGGCGAAGGCGGCCUGCUGGACGAUGACUGACGUUGAGGCUCGAAAGCGUGGGGAGCAAACAGG